ACUUAAAUAUCUUAAAUUAAAAGUUUAAUAUUGAAGAUAUUAAUAUGGAGUUCAUUCCUUUAAGUG
rnacentral:tRNA from 1 species